rnacentral:rRNA from 1 species
GAAACAGUGGCUAAGACUGGAUAGGAAGAUAAAAGGCAUCUUUUAUCUUUUAAAAGACCUAGUAAUAGGUAUGCUUUAGGAGGGGCUUGCGCCAUAUUAGUUAGUUGGUAGGGUAAUGGCCUACCAAGACGAUGAUGUGUAGCUGGACUGAGAGGUUGAACAGCCACAUUGGGACUGAGACACGGCCCAAACUCCUACGGGAGGCAGCAGUAGGGAAUUUUCGGCAAUGGAGGAAACUCUGACCGAGCAACGCCGCGUGAAUGACGAAGUACUUCGGUAUGUAAAGUUCUUUUAUCAAGGAAGAAAAGCAAAUGGCGAACCAUUUGUUUGCCGGUACUUGAUGAAUAAGCCCCGGCUAAUUAUGUGCCAGCAGCCGCGGUAAGACAUAAGGGGCAAGUGUUAUCCGGAAUUAUUGGGCGUAAAGGGUGCGUAGGCGGUCUAGUAAGUCAGUGGUGUAAUGGCAACGCUUAACGUUGUCCGGCUAUUGAAACUGCUAAACUUGAGUUAGAUAGAGGCGAGUGGAAUUCCAUGUGUAGCGGUAAAAUGCGUAAAUAUAUGGAGGAACACCAGAGGCGUAGGCGGCUCGCUGGGUCUUAACUGACGCUGAGGCACGAAAGCGUGGGGAGCAAACAGGAUUAGAUACCCUGGUAGUCCACGCCGUAAACGAUGAGUACUAAGUGUCGGGUUAAACCGGUACUGAAGUUAACACAUUAAGUACUCCGCCUGAGUAGUACGUACGCAAGUAUGAAACUUAAAGGAAUUGACGGGACUCCGCACAAGCGGUGGAUCAUGUUGUUUAAUUCGAAGAUACCCGAAAAACCUUACCAGGUCUUGACAUGUUUUUGCAAAAUGAUAGUAAUAUCGUGGAGGUUACCAGAAACACAGGUGGUGCAUGGUUGUCGUCAGCUCGUGUCGUGAGAUGUUAGGUUAAGUCCUAAAACGAGCGAAACCCUUAUCGUUAGUUGCCAGCACGUUUAUGGUGGGGACUUUAACGAGACUGCCAAUGAUAAAUUGGAGGAAGGUGAGGAUCACGUCAAAUCAGCAUGCCCCUUAUGACCUGGGCUACAAACGUGAUACAAUGGCUGUUACAAAGGGUAGCUGAAACGCAAGUUCUUGGCCAAUCCCCAAAAACAGUCCCAGUCCGGAUUGAAGUCUGCAACUCGACUUCAUGAAGUUGGAAUCGCUAGUAAUCGCGAAUCAGCAUGUCGCGGUGAAUACGUUCUCGGGGUUUGUACACACCGCCCGUCA